rnacentral:rRNA from 1 species
UACAGGGGGUGCAAACGUUGCUCGGAAUCAUUGGGCGUAAAGCGCACGUAGGCGGUUCGUUAUGUCGGAUGUGAAAGCCCUUGGCUUAACCGAGGAAGUGCAUCCGAAACUGGCGAGCUAGAGUACGAAAGAGGAUCGCGGAAUUCCCGGUGUAGAGGUGAAAUUCGUAGAUAUCGGGAGGAACACCGGUGGCGAAGGCGACUCUUUGGCCUGUAACUGACGCUGAGGCGCGAAAGCGUGGGGAGCAAACAGG